AAUGUAGACGUUGUGGAGUGCGGAGUGUGUGUGUGUGUCACGUGUGUCUCUAAACCUUCAUUUGAUUGGUCUUUCUAUUAUUUAUAAUUUUUGUGUUAGAAAUGUGAUUAUUUCUAUUAUAAUUGGAUUGGAAUUAAUUAUGAAUUAUACUCCUUAUAUUGAUAUUACGAUUCAAUAUCUUGGUUUGAAUGAGAAAAGGACUCAAAUUUGAAAGAAAUCAAAACAAAUCAAAUUAAUUUUUUCAAGAUGAUAUUAAAAAUGCAUUUAGUUGUCUGUCAUUUUUUGACAAUUUGCUCCUUCACCAGUGUCAUAUCAGUGACACAUUAAAAAGUAUCAAUUUAAAAUCAAGUAAAAAGCAAAAAAACUAGACAUUAAACUCUAAUCCGUGAUGGUAUUUCGAUCUGUGAUCUCACAGAUCCUUGGUAUUUUCAUAAUGGCUAUUCUUGGACUCCUCCAGAUCUUGUUCUUGAUGGCCAUGGGGGAUUGAUCCUUUGUUCGUUUGGAUCGAUGUCGACCACUUUCAAGCUUCAAUUAGACUAUUAUAUUUGUCAACAAUCCCAAAAUCUGUCUUUUUUAACAUCUUAAGAGCCUUCAUUAUGUCUUUUUGAGCCUUACCUGUGGACUACAUAUUAAUAAUGACUUGGUAUCGGACGUUCAUAUUGUUUAUUUUCCAUUAUUUUAAAAAUAUUUUUUCCUAUGCAGCCUUGAUCAAUAAAACCUAAAUUUUGCUUUA
rnacentral:lncRNA from 1 species